rnacentral:rRNA from 1 species
GACAGAGGGUGCAAACGUUGCUCGGAAUUACUGGGCGUAAAGCGCGUGUAGGCGGACCGGAAAGUCGGGCGUGAAAUCCCAAGGCUUAACCUUGGAACUGCGUCGGAUACUGGAUGGCUUGAAUUCGGGAGAGGGAUGCAGAAUUCCAGGUGUAGCGGUGAAAUGCGUAGAUAUCUGGAGGAAUACCGGUGGCGAAGGCGGCAUCCUGGACCGACAUUGACGCUGAAAACCGAAAGCUAGGGGAGCAAACGGG